rnacentral:rRNA from 1 species
AUUGAACGCUGGCGGCAUGCCUUACACAUGCAAGUCGAACGGCAGCACGGGGCAACCUGGUGGCGAGUGGCGAACGGGUGAGUAAUGCAUCGGAACGUACCUUUCAGUGGGGGAUAACGUAGCGAAAGUUACGCUAAUACCGCAUAUUCUGUGAGCAGGAAAGCAGGGGAUCGCAAGACCUUGCGCUGAUUGAGCGGCCGAUGUCAGAUUAGCGAGUUGGUGAGGUAAAGGCUCACCAAGGCGACGAUCUGUAGCGGGUCUGAGAGGAUGAUCCGCCACACUGGAACUGAGACACGGUCCAGACUCCUACGGGAGGCAGCAGUGGGGAAUUUUGGACAAUGGGGGCAACCCUGAUCCAGCCAUGCCGCGUGAGUGAAGAAGGCCUUCGGGUUGUAAAGCUCUUUCGGCCGGGAAGAAAUCGCACGGGCUAAUACCCUGUGUGGAUGACGGUACCGGAAUAAGAAGCACCGGCUAGCUACGUGCCAGCCGCCGCAGUAACAC